GACGAACCGUGCGAACGUUAUUCGGAAUCACUGGGCUUAAAGCGCGUGUAGGCGGGGCGGCACGUCGGUCGCUGAAAUCCCCCGGCUUAACCGGGGAACUGGCGGCGAUACGACCGUCCUGGAGGGGCGUAGGGGGACCUGGAACUUCCGGUGGAGCGGUGAAAUGCGUUGAGAUCGGAAGGAACGCCCGUGGCGAAAGCGAGGUCCUGGACGCCUACUGACGCUGAGACGCGAAAGCCAGGGGAGCGAACGGG
rnacentral:rRNA from 1 species